GCCAUAUGAUGUGCAUGUGAUGUCACGAGCUUUCAGUAAUGAUGACUUACAUCUAUCACCCAAUAGCUGAUGGUU